GGACCUGACUGCUAUCGGAUUGAUACUAAGCCAUGCGAGUCAUUGUAGCAAUACAGGGCAUACGGCUCAGUAACGCGUAGUCAACCUAACCUAUGGACGGGAAUAACCUCGGGAAACUGAGAAUAAUGCCCGAUAGAACAUUAUGCCUGGAAUGGUUUAUGUUCCAAAUGAUUUAUCGCCGUAGGAUGGGACUGCGGCCUAUCAGUUUGUUGGUGAGGUAAUGGCCCACCAAGACUAUUACAGGUACGGGCUCUGAGAGGAGUAGCCCGGAGAUGGGUACUGAGACACGGACCCAGGCCCUAUGGGGCGCAGCAGGCGAGAAAACUUUGCAAUGUGCGAAAGCACGACAAGGUUAAUCCGAGUGGUUUCUGCUAAAGAAACCUUUUGUCAGUCCUAGAAACACUGAUGAAUAAGGGGUGGGCAAGUUCUGGUGU
rnacentral:rRNA from 1 species